rnacentral:rRNA from 1 species
GAUGAACGCUGGCGGCGUGCCUAAUACAUGCAAGUCGAGCGAACAGACGAGGAGCUUGCUCCUCUGACGUUAGCGGCGGACGGGUGAGUAACACGUGGAUAACCUACCUAUAAGACUGGGAUAACUUCGGGAAACCGGAGCUAAUACCGGAUAAUAUAUUGAACCGCAUGGUUCAAUAGUGAAAGACGGUUUUGCUGUCACUUAUAGAUGGAUCCGCGCCGCAUUAGCUAGUUGGUAAGGUAACGGCUUACCAAGGCAACGAUGCGUAGCCGACCUGAGAGGGUGAUCGGCCACACUGGAACUGAGACACGGUCCAGACUCCUACGGGAGGCAGCAGUAGGGAAUAUUCCGCAAUGGGCGAAAGCCUGACGGAGCAACACCGCGUGAGUGAUGAAGGUCUUCGGAUCGUAAAACUCUGUUAUUAGGAAAGAACAAAUGUGUAAGUAACUAUGCACGUCUUGACGGUACCUAAUCAGAAAGCCACGGCUAACUACGUG